rnacentral:sRNA from 1 species
UACUUGAGCUUCGAUUAAGAUAUUAAACUCACCCUUGUUUUAAGGCAACUGUUCAGAUGAGAAGCCAAAAUUUAUCGUUAUUCCUUGAGUGUUUGUGAGACGGGAGAAUUAUAGGCAUUGAUUGUAUUAAAGAAUAAUCCUAUGGAAAAAUGGAGAUGUAUGAGAGAAAUCGAAUUCAGUCAAAUAAAGAAGAUACAAAGCAAAAGAAAAAAAAAAAAAGCCAUAGAAAUCUAGAAGAAGGAUAUAUGAUUUUCGAAUCUAUGGAGAAUUCUAUAUAUAUAAAACAAAAUUACAAACAGAAAUAGAAGAUGGUAAAUUGGUUCAUUGAGAUGAACAAAAUACCUGAUUUCUGAGUAAUCGAUUAAUGAUGUUGAGAAACCCAUCUUUGAGAUUUUACACAGUAGUCAUGGAGUUUUUGGAAGAGAGAAAGUGGAAAUGUGGAGAUCGUGGGGAUGAAAGAAAAAAUCGUUUGACAAAGAAACAAAGUUAAAUAAAAACGACACAUACUAUGCGUGAAAAUGAAAGAAUAAAAAAAUAGUACUAAGCUGAUGUGUCAAUCACUGAAUACAUCAGUUAUUGGAAAAGUGACUGCUGAUUUAGUAUAUUUAGAUUUGUGUUAUUAUGUUCAGAUGAAUUAUAUAAUAGUUAUUGUACACUGAAUAAAU